rnacentral:piRNA from 1 species
UCUUAUGUGCGAUCACUAUGCUGCAUCUGA